GAUGAACGCUAGCGGCAGGCUUAACACAUGCAAGUCGAGGGGUAGAGGAAGCUUGCUUCCUUGAGACCGGCGCACGGGUGCGUAACGCGUAUGCAACCUACCUUUUACAGAGGGAUAGCCCAGAGAAAUUUGGAUUAAUACCUCAUGGUAUAUAUCAUUCGCAUGUUUGAUAUAUUAAAGUUCCAACGGUAAAAGAUGGGCAUGCGUCCUAUUAGCUAGAUGGUAAGGUAACGGCUUACCAUGGCAACGAUAGGUAGGGGUCCUGAGAGGGAGAUCCCCCACACUGGUACUGAGACACGGACCAGACUCCUACGGGAGGCAGCAGUGAGGAAUAUUGGACAAUGGGCGCAAGCCUGAUCCAGCCAUGCCGCGUGCAGGAAGAAGCAUCUAUGGUGUGUAAAACUGCUUUUGUACGGGAAGAAACACUCCUUCGUGAAGGAGCUUGACGGUACCGUAAGAAUAAGGAUCGGCUAACUCCGUGCCAGCAGCCG
rnacentral:rRNA from 1 species